AUCGCUUCUCGGCUUUUUGGCUAAGAUCAAGUGUAGUAUCUGUUCUUAUCAGUUUAAUAUCUGAUACACCCCUUAUCUAGGGACUAUAUAUAUAUAUAUAUAUAUAUUAUAUAAAAACUAUAGUAGCUGUUAUCAUCAGUUUUAAUGUCUUAUAUGUCCCUUAUCUAAGGACCAUAUAAGUAGGAGU